rnacentral:rRNA from 1 species
GACGAACGCUGGCGGCGUGCUUAACACAUGCAAGUCGAACGGAAAGGCCCUGCUUUUGUGGGGUGCUCGAGUGGCGAACGGGUGAGUAACACGUGAGUAACCUGCCCUUGACUUUGGGAUAACUUCAGGAAACUGGGGCUAAUACCGGAUAGGAGCUCCUGCUGCAUGGUGGGGGUUGGAAAGUUUCGGCGGUUGGGGAUGGACUCGCGGCUUAUCAGCUUGUUGGUGGGGUAGUGGCUUACCAAGGCUCUGACGGGUAGCCGGCCUGGGAGGGUGACCGGCCACAUUGGGACUGAGAUACGGCCCAGACUCCUACGGGAGGCAGCAGUGGGGAAUAUUGCACAAUGGGCGGAAGCCUGAUGCAGCAACGCCGCGUGCGGGAUGACGGCCUUCGGGUUGUAAACCGCUUUCGCCUGUGACGAAGCGUGAGUGACGGUAAUGGGUAAAGAAGCACCGGCUAACUACGUG